AUGGCGCCGAUGUCUCGCUGUAGCUGUGGCUGUGCUUGCUGCUGCACCAUCUACCGGCCCCUGCUGAGGCAUGUCCGCCUCAUCAGCAAGCUGGCCUCCGCCCCUCCUGCACUGCGCCCCUGCCGGCCAUGCCGGAAUUCGUCAAGUUCAGCACCACCGCACCCUCUGACCUCCCCUGUUACCCACAUUGUCGCCGUUCAUCUUCAACCGUGGGACCGUUACUUCGUCAUCCACCUCGGCUCUGGCCACCAUGGACGCCUCAUGCCCAAGAUCUUCCUCCUAUGUGGUGUAGAGCUGCACCACCACCACCUCGAGGCCCCUUGCAGUCUUCGUUUCGGAACGCCAAGAAGCCAAUGGCACUAG
rnacentral:rRNA from 1 species